AUCCAGCUGACGAGUCCCAAAUAGGACGAAAUGCGCCUAAUCCUGGAU
rfam:Trichobilharzia regenti genome assembly, scaffold: TRE_scaffold0048780